rnacentral:rRNA from 1 species
UACGGAGGGUGCAAGCGUUGUUCGGAAUCACUGGGCGUAGAGGGCGUGUAGGCGGUCCGCUAAGUCUGAUGUGAAAGCCCGGGGCUCACCCCCGGAAGGGCAUUGGAAACUGGCGGACUCGAGUCUCGGAGAGGAAGGUGGAAUUCCUGGUGUAGCGGUGAAAUGCGUAGAUAUCAGGAGGAAUACCGGUGGCGAAGGCGGCCUUCUGGACGAUGACUGACGCUGAGACGCGAAAGCGUGGGGAGCAAACAGG